UCAAUAGCAUAAUGUGUACUAAAUGUUAUUAAUACAUCGCAUGGGUAAGGACUAUUUGGGCCGGGCCUAGGUAGUAUGCCAUUUGAGUUCAGCUUCCGUGAGUAAAAUUUAACUGGGCUUCUUUAAGCCCAUUAAGUUUCUAAUGUUAUGAUCCACCCUACUCUCUGGCAUGUAAAACGCCCCCUUUCUAGCACUUGAGUAAAACAGGCGAAGACCCAUUUACCAUUUUAUCUUCCGUAAAAAAUAUUCUAAAUAUUGCGUCCCACCCAGUCUAUUGACUGUGACGCAAAACGCCACCGUUGCAUUACCUGGGUAAAACAUACGCAGACAGAUUUUUGACUGUCAAACGCCGUCGUUCCGGUAUCGGCGUAAAACUGAGUCAGAUCGAUUUACCAUUUUGUCCUCCGUCAAAAAAACGCAACCGUUCCGGUAGCCGUAAGACUCUAUAUAAAGGCAAGAGCGGGGAACAAUUCGGAAGCAAGCUGAACGUGACAAAACUUGCGCGCGAAGAAUUCAAAGUUCAUGAAAUUGCUCUGGCGAGAAGCACGAUGGUUGUGGUUACUGUGGUUCGAACUUCUAAGUGGUGGCUUACGAUAACGUAAUUCGCAAGCAAAGGCAAAGAGAGAAGCCAUGACUUGAGCAAGUGGAUCCAAAGUAUGCUUCAUCUCUUCCAAUCUGUCAGUGGUAAACAUGGAUUACAUUUAUUUCCUUUAAACAAAAAAAUUUUCUCCAAUUAUUUGUUUGUGGAGUUGUGCUUGAGGAAGUAAAUUUUCUUUAAGCUAUUUGGUCUGAAAACAGGUGCAAGUGCAGUAUGCUUCAGUUUUGUUUCUUUUUUUUUUGGCUCCGGAAGAUCAAAUGAAACUUUACCAUAAAAAGGGGCUAUGAGGUCAGUACCUCAGUACUAUUGCUCCCAAUUUCUUAUUUGCCAUCAGCUCGAAAUUAUAAAAAAUAUGUUGAAGCUCCAGAA